rnacentral:rRNA from 1 species
GAACGCUGGCGACGUGCUUAACACAUGCAAGUCGCGCGUGAAAGGACUUCGGUCCGAGUAAAGCGGCGCACGGGUGAGUAACGCGUGGAUGAUCUACCCAUGAGUUAGGAAUAACGGCUGGAAACGGUCGCUAAUACCAAAUACGCUCCGAUUUCAACUUCGGGGGAAAGGUGGCCUCUGCUUGCAAGCUACUGCUCAUGGAUGAGUCCGCGUCCCAUUAGCUAGUUGGUGGGGUAACGGCCCACCAAGGCGACGAUGGGUAGCCGGCCUGAGAGGAUGACCGGCCACACUGGGACUGGAACACGGCCCAGACUCCUACGGGAGGCAGCAGUGGGGAAUAUUGCGCAAUGGGCGAAAGCCUGACGCAGCGACGCCGCGUGAGGGAUGAAAGGUCCUCGGAUCGUAAACCUCUGUCAGGAGGGAAGAACCGCCACGGUGCUAAUCAGCCGUGGUCUGACGGUACCUCCAAAGGAAGCACCGGCUAACUCCGUGCCAGCAGCAGC